rnacentral:rRNA from 1 species
UACGGAGGGGGCGAGCGUUAUUCGGAAUUAUUGGGCGUAAAGGGCGCGUAGGCGGCUCGAUAAGUCAAAGGUGAAAUCCCUCGGCUCAACUGAGGAACUGCCUUUGAAACUGUCGGGCUUGAGGCCGGGAGGGGGUAGCGGAAUUCCCAGUGUAGCGGUGAAAUGCGUAGAUAUUGGGAGGAACACCAGUGGCGAAGGCGGCUACCUGGACCGGUUCUGACGCUGAUGCGCGAAAGCGUGGGUAGCAAACAGGAUUAGAUACCCUCGUAGUC